UUUUUUUUUUUUUUUUUUUUUUUUUGAGAUGGAGUUUUAUUCUUGCUCCAUCAGUAAUAGCCAAAAAUUGCUUGUUGUCUUCGUAAUAUUUGUUUCCAUAUUUUUCUUUCCCCACUAAUGUGCCAACCCGCCCAUCAUUUGCCCUGAAAAAACUUCGUAACUAGCCAUGGAGGCAGCUGUAGCUGCUGACCUGCUGCAGGCUGUGCUUCAGACCUGCAGUCAUUUGGCCUCAUCCUUCAGGCUGUGGUACUGGGGGAACCCGCCCCCGAUAGUUAACGUGGGUUCUUUUCUAUUUCCCUAAGCAUUGGCUGGUCUGAGAAAUAAAGAGAAAGAGUACAAAAGAGAGAAAUUUUAAAGCUGGGUGUCCGGGGGAGACAUCACAUGUCAGCAGGUUCCAUGAUGCCCCCUGAGCUGCAAAACCAGCAAGUUUUUAUUAGCGAUUUUCAAAAGGGGAGGGAGUGGACGAAUAGGGUGUGGGUCACAGAGAUCCCAUGCUUCAAAGGCAAUAAAAUAUCACAAAGCAAAUGGAGGCAGGGCGAGAUCACAGGACCAUAGGACGGGGCAAAAUUAAAAUUGCUAAUGAAGUUUUGGGCACGCAUUGCCAUUGAUAACAUCUUAUCAGGAGACAGGGUUUGAGAGCAGACAACCGGUCUGACCAAAAUUUAUUAGGUGGGAAUUUCCUCGUCCUAAUAAGCCUGGGAGUGCUACAGGAGACCAGGGCUUAUUUCAUCCCUUCGCCUUCGACCAUAAAAGACAGCCAUCCCUAAAGUGGCCAUUUCAGAGGCCUACCCUCAGGGGCCAUUCUCUUUCUCAGGGAUGUUCCUUGCUGAGAAAAAUAAUUCAGUGAUAUUUCUCCUAUUUGCUUUUGAAAGAAGAAAACUAUGGCUCUGUUCCGCCCGGCUCAGCGGCAGUCAGAGUUUAAGGUUAUCCCCCGUGUUCCCUGAACAUUGCUGUUAUCCUGUUCUUUUUUCAAGGUGCCCAGCUUUCAUAUUGUUCAAACACACACGCUCUACAAACAAUCUGUGCAGUUAACGCAAUCAUCACAGGGGCCUGAGGCAACAUAUAACCUCCUCAGUUUACGAAGAUGAUGGGAUUAAGAGAUUAAAGACAGGCCAGGCGCGGUGGCUCAAGCCUGUAAUCCCAGCACUUUGGGAGGCCGAGACGGGUGGAUCACGAGGUCAGGAGAUCGAGACCAUCCUGGCGAACACCGUGAAACCCCGUCUCUACUAAAAAUACAAAAACUAGCCGGGCGUGGCGGGCGCCUGUAGUCCCAGCUACUGGGAGGCUGAGGCAGGAGAAUGGCGUAAACCUGGGAGGCGGAGCUUGCAGUGAGCUGAGAUCCGGCCACUGCACUC
rnacentral:lncRNA from 1 species